rnacentral:rRNA from 1 species
AGUGAACGCUGGCGGUAGGCCUAACACAUGCAAGUCGAACGGCAGCACAGUAAGAGCUUGCUCUUACGGGUGGCGAGUGGCGGACGGGUGAGGAAUACAUCGGAAUCUACUUUUUCGUGGGGGAUAACGUAGGGAAACUUACGCUAAUACCGCAAACGACCUACGGGUGAAAGCAGGGGAUCUUCGGACCUUGCGCGAUUGAAUGAGCCGAUGUCGGAUUAGCUAGUUGGCGGGGUAAAGGCCCACCAAGGCGACGAUCCGUAGCUGGUCUGAGAGGAUGAUCAGCCACACUGGAACUGAGACACGGUCCAGACUCCUACGGGAGGCAGCAGUGGGGAAUAUUGGACAAUGGGCGCAAGCCUGAUCCAGCCAUACCGCGUGGGUGAAGAAGGCCUUCGGGUUGUAAAGCCCUUUUGUUGAGAAAGAAAAGCAGCAGGUUAAUACCCCGCUGUUCUGACGGUACCCAAAGAAUAAGCACCGGCUAACUUCGUG